AUAGAGCAACAGCUUCUAUGCAGUUUCUUGUUAGCCCCGGUAAUCUUUCUGACUCGCCAAAGUUAAAGAAGAUUAUCGGGGUUUUCGCUU
rnacentral:antisense_RNA from 1 species